rnacentral:sRNA from 1 species
UUGCGUUAAGCGCCCUAUAAUCGCCACA